rnacentral:lncRNA from 1 species
CUUUACAAAAAAUUAAGAUUAUAUUUUCUAUCAUAAUUUUGAUUUUUAUAUCCGAAUUGUAGACAGUAAUUCUUACUCGUAAUUCAUUCUCGCUCACGAUCUGCAACAAGGCAAGAAUGAAGCCGUCACAAAAAUUAAGAUUAGGACUAGAUAGGAAAUUCCAUAUAUUACAUAUUUAUAUAUAACUUAUGUAAGAAUAUUAAAUCACGUCCGUUCAUCAAGAACAUGUCAAGAUACAUCCUAAUCGUUGGAUAAAUCGUAUCCUUAUAGAUCGACUUGAAUAGACUGACUGUAUUUUUAUAGAUUGCCUUAAUUAAAUCAUAAUCACAUGGGCCACAUCCAACACAUAUAUCCUCUCAAAUUUUUAAUUUUUUUUUAUUGGACCAAUAUACUUUAUUAA